rnacentral:rRNA from 1 species
UACGUAGGCAGCGAGCGUUGUUCGGAAUUACUGGGCGUAAAGAGUGUGUAGGCGGUGCUCUAAGUUCGGGGUGAAAUCCCCCGGCUCAACUGGGAGGGUGCGCCGAAAACUGGGGUGCUGGAGCGCGGGAGAGGAAAGCGGAAUUCCUGGUGUAGCGGUGAAAUGCGUAGAUAUCAGGAGGAACACCGGCGGUGUAGACGGCUUUCUGGACCGUAGCUGACGCUGAGGCACGAAAGCGUGGGUAGCAAACAGG